rnacentral:rRNA from 1 species
AUUGAACGCUGGCGGCAUGCCUUACACAUGCAAGUCGAACGGUAACGGGUCCUUCGGGAUGCCGACGAGUGGCGAACGGGUGAGUAAUAUAUCGGAACGUGCCCAGUAGUGGGGGAUGACUGCUCGAAAGAGCAGCUAAUACCGCAUACGACCUGAGGGUGAAAGGGGGGGGAUCGCAAGACCUCUCGCUAUUGGAGCGGCCGAUAUCAGAGUAGCUAGUUGGUGGGGUAAAGGCCUACCAAGGCAACGAUCUGUAGUUGGUCUGGGAGGACGACCAGCCACACUGGGACUGAGACACGGCCCAGACUCCUACGGGAGGCAGCAGUGGGGAAUUUUGGACAAUGGGCGCAAGCCUGAUCCAGCAAUGCCGCGUGCAGGAUGAAGGCCUUCGGGUUGUAAACUGCUUUUGUACGGAACGAAAAGCCCCGGGUUAAUACCCUGGGGUCAUGACGGUACCGUAAGAAUAAGCACCGGCUAACUACGUGCCAGCCGCCGCCGUAA